AGCUUCAGGUCCAUUCUGCUGGUGAUCAGAGCAAGGUGGAAUAAUGUUUCUGUCAGGUUUAGGGCAGGAGAAACUGAAGUUCAUAGUUAAGUAUAAGCUGGUAUAUGAUCCUAGGCAACUUUUCCCAUCUCUCUUUAUACCAUCAGACUCAUCUGUCUAGAUAAGUAUUGUCUACUAUGGCAGUGGCUCCUUUGGAUAUCAGGCUGAGAGUGUUUACUUCACCUCCUAGUCAAACAUCUUAAACAUAGAUGUGAGGAAAUCAAACCAGGCCCUUGGCAUGCAAAACUGAUCCUCUGGCACUGAACUAUGGUCCUUCUCCUUCAAGUGACUUCUGUUUUGGAGAAUAAUCAUAGGAUAAAAAACAGAGUUGUAGGAGGCAAGCUAAUCUGAUGAAAACUUCAAAACAGGCUCUGAUUCAAAUCCAAGCCUUGUUCCUGCCUUUAAUUCCAUGAAGUUCUUGGCUUAAUUUCACAAGCCCUCAGGAAGACAUCAGUCAAAAGAGAAAAGAAUAAGAAAAGUGAUAGUCCUGACCCUGGUUGACUUUGGUUCCACUCACUAUGAAUGCAAAGCCUCCAACAGAUUACCUGUGAGGUGAGGCAGCCCUCCACAAGGGAUGUAAAAAUGUUAAAAAUUUCAAAGUGUUCAAAUGUACAUGCAUUUUGUUUUCUUAUUUUGCAUAGUGAACAGCAUUUUCUGCAGUUACCUGCAUAGAAAACAAUAUUAUGCUGUUUUCUGUACAGGAUUUUUUCUCCACAGAGAUUAUGUUUUCUGCACAGAAACAAUGUUUCUUGCACAAACAGGAUGAUUGGACCUAAAUCUGAGGGUUUAAAUCACCUUGUGGCUUUAAUCUGGAGCAGAAAAGUGGGGAAUUGUCCUGGUUUUGUAUGGAAAAUCCAGAUGUUUGCUCACAUUGAGCUUCAUAGCAAUGUCAGUGUGAGGAGUACAGAAAUAUGUACAUUUGCACACUAGGGAGGAGGGCAGUAGAGAAAAAUAAUGUGGAGCAGCCACAGCAGUGUGGUCAUGCAUAGUGUAAUUUAUUGGACCACAGUGUGUUCAAAAGGGAGAACUGUGUGGCUAGUUCUCCCGAAAUUGUCUUGUUGCAUGUAGACAAGCCUGUGGUUGCUACAGAUUGGAGUAAUCCAAAGGUAAAAUGAAUUUUCCUGUCAGUGAAGAUGAGCCCUAGGAUUGCCCUCAUCAAGGUUUCCUGACACUUGAGUAACCCAUUUUUCAACUCGUUUUUGAAUAUUUCCAAAUAUUCUUUCCAUCCCUACUCUCAACAUAGUUUUCCUCAGUCUUGUCCUACAGAUCUGGGCUAGAUUCAAGCAACUGGCCAAGAUGAGAGAGGUGAGGCAGAAAGAGGAGGUAUCCAGGAAGCAAGGAUUAAAUCUCUUCCUUGUUAGAAUUUGGUUUAGUUCUCUUCAUAUGGCACAAAAUUCUUUUGUGAAAGAGAAAGGGAAAUGUCUAUUUUUUACUACUAUUAUGUUUUGAAGAGGCUAAUCACUCUGGAAAGAUUCCAGUAAGCCAGAAAAAGGAAGGAGAGAGGCAGAGGGGCAUUUUUGUGUUUGUUUGUUUUUUUAAAAUAGCACCACAUACAGGAAGAGGAAGAGAUGAUUGAAUGAACACAACACUCUUUAGAUGCAUUGAAUUACAAAUUCCAUAAUCCCCAUCUGAUGCAUGUGGGGACUAUGAGAGUUGUAAUCCAAUAUGUCUGAAGGUGCAAUGCUGUGAAAGGAUUGGAGUAGAGUCUUGGAACAAAAAGGUGUCAGGUGGUUCCUUUGUGUUCUGAACACAGGAGACUUUUCUCUCUCAGGGACCUGUCUACAGCUGUUACAGGAACCAUUGCUAGGAAUGUUAUGAUUGCACAGGGAGAGGGCUAAGAGAGGUGCAAAGACACUGUCCAUAGUAACAAAAUAUCUUACAAAGUCAGGCCUGUCUUCCCCAUUAAGAAGCUGUAUGGUUGGUAUGUACAUAUGUUGCAUGUACCUUAAGCAUAAGAUCUAGCCAUUUUGGAGGUUCCAUAGUGCUCUUCUCCAAAGAAGCAACUGUUCCUUGGACCGUACUUUGACAAAAACAAAACAAAAACUGAUCUGUGUGCAUGUGUGUGUCAAGCUGCAGCCCCAAUGAUGACAUCUCCUCUCACAAAGGCUCCAGACUUUUGUUUCUCAACCAUUCCCUGCUUCAAGUCCUCAUGUCCCUUCUCUAGAAGGUUGAAAGAUACAAAUCAGCUGCCCUGGCUAGUGCAAAGAGGAUUGUUCCCAAAUUUUUCCCUUAGUUCCCUUUGCAAGUGCAAGAGCUUGUCCUACAAUUUCCCACAAAUAAGGGGAAAAAAAAGAUUGAUGUUGAUUAAAACAGUUUCCCUCUCUGUACACAAUAAUUUUCAGAUGGACAUAAAGGGUUGGCAGGUAGCCAGGUGGACAUUAAAUAAUUCUUUCCCCAUAAUAAAUGGUUGGUGAUCAAGACCAGCUGCCAGCCAGCUAAGUUUGGUUCGUUCCACAGCCCAGUCUCUGUUCCUUUUGCUUCCUAGCUGCUGUGGGCAGGACAGGGCUUGUCAGACCUUGGCCUCUAGCAUUUCUAGGAAGAGUUUGUGCAUGGGUACUUUGCCCUGCAGUUUGAUGCUGUAGAAAUGCUGCACAGCCUUGGCGGCAGUUUGCCGCAGAAGGGGCAGGGUCAGCAGCAGCUUUCCUGCACGCCGUGGCUCCUCAUGACGUUGACUCAGCUCGUAGUCCUGAAGGGCUUCAUGGAGAAGGUCUUGGAGUUUCUGCACAGCCUCCAUGUCCUCUAUGUGCAUUGAAUCUGAAAAGCAAAAAAAAAACCAAGAGGAAAAUGAGACAAGAAAAGCCAGCGAAAGGGGCAGAGAAAUGCUGAGGCUGUGGUUAUAGAGGAAUGAGAGGGAAAAUUUCAGAGUUAUCAACUGAAUAGUGGAACAAAGUCAUGCUGGAAUAAAAGAUAUAUCAUUAUG